CCUACGGGAGGCAGCAGUGAGGAAUAUUGGUCAAUGGCCGGAAGGCUGAACCAGCCAUGCCGCGUGAAUGUCAGUGCCCUAUGGGCGUUAAACUUCUUUUGUGCGGGAGCAAUAAUGGUCACGUGUGGCCAGACGAGAGUACCGUACGACUAAGCAUCGGCUAACUCCGUGCCAGCAGCCGCGGUAAUACGGGGGAUGCAAGCGUUAGCCGGGUUUACUGGGUUUAAAGGGUGCGUAGGCUGUGAGGUAAGUCAGCGGUGAAAUGCCCCCGCUCAACGGGGUGAAGUGCCAUUGAUAAUGCCUGGCUGGAAUGCGGAUGCCGUGGGAGGAAUGUGUGGUGUAGCGGUGAAAUGCAUAGAUAUCACACAGAACACCGAUUGCGAAGGCAUCUCACGAAUCCGCGAUUGACGUUGAUGCACGAAAGCGUGGGUAUCAAACAGGAUUAGAUACCCGAGUAGUC
rnacentral:rRNA from 1 species